rnacentral:rRNA from 1 species
UACGUAGGGUGCAAGCGUUGUCCGGAAUUACUGGGCGUAAAGCGUGCGCAGGCGGUUCGUUGUGUCGGCGGUGAAAGCCCCGGGCUCAACCUGGGAAUGGCCGUUGAAACUGGCGAACUGGAGUGUGGCAGAGGGGGGUGGAAUUCCGCGUGUAGCAGUGAAAUGCGUAGAGAUGCGGAGGAACACCGAUGGCGAAGGCAGCCCCCUGGGCUACCACUGACGCUCAGGCACGAAAGCGUGGGGAGCAAACAGG